AAAGAACCACUUUAAUUUGUACAAAACUUAUAAAGGGAUUUUUAUCUUUAUUAGUAUAAAAUAUUUGAGGUUACAGAUUUUUAUUUACUUCUUUUAUAAUUACUUCUUUAUCAAUUUGAUAAUAGCCUGUCAAUCUGUAGCAUCAUUUCCUGCUGUAUACAUACAGGUUUAUUUUCAGUGUCAUUUAGUUACUGUUCUAUAUGUAAGCGCAAUCUCCUUGUAAGGGGAACAGUAAGCUAUCUUCUUCUUAUAGGUGGAAGAUGCAGCUCCUGGUGUCCUCUCAUGAUUUGAUUUUGCACUAACUACACUAUAACUACACUACAGAGGCACACUACAAUGGCCAUUUCAAUAAAAGUCACCUUGAGACUACGUGUGAGGGCACACUUUUAAUCCCAACACUUGACAGCCUAGGAUCCACCACCGACUUUCAACCUCCAGCUCUGUAACUUCCUAUUCAUUUGCCUAUUCUAGUCAUUUUUCUCUACUUUCUCUUCCUUCUCCUCCUCCUCUUCUCUGUUUUGUUUUGAAUAUUGAUUUUAAUUUUGUAUGCUUGGGUGUUUCUCCUGCAUAUAUGCACUGUGUUCUUACAAUGCCGUUGGAAGCCAGAAGAUUACAACUCCCUGGAACUACAGAAGCAAAUCUGAGCGCGUUGGAAGAGCAGCCAGAUCUGCUAAACGCUAAGCCAUCUCUCAGGCACCUUCACUUUCAGCUCUUCUUGACACAUCAUCAGACUGUCUGCUAAUGGAAUUCGUAUUAUUCCUUCUUUCUUCUCAUAUUCAUUAAAUACUGGUAUUUUUCAAUGUUCUGGUUUUGGCCAUUUUCUUUCAUCAUUCAAUGAAAGUCUACUUACAUAUAGAUUCUAUCUAUAUAGUAAGUAAACUGCCUGAUUAAUAGACACAUAAUACCUAAUAUGUACAACAGCAUCCCCAUACCUAUACCUAUACUCACACAAAGGUUACACACCUAGGACUCAUAAGA